rnacentral:rRNA from 1 species
UACAGAGGGUGCAAGCGUUGUUCAGAAUUAUUGGGCGUAAAGGGCGUGUAGGCGGUUUGCUAAGUCUUCUGUGAAAUCUACGGGCUCAGCCUGUAACGUGCAGAGGAAACUGACAGACUUGAGUGUCGGAGAGGAUAGUGGAAUUCCCGGUGUAGAGGUGAAAUUCGUAGAGAUCGGGAGGAACACCAGUGGCGAAGGCGACUAUCUGGCUGACAACUGACGCUGAGACUCGAAAGCAUGGGGAGCAAACAGG